UGGCGCGGCCGGGCCGGGACGCGGGGCGGCGGGAGGGGCAGCCGGCACCCCCGUGGGCGCCCGGAUUUUCCUGGGCGCUCCCGCCCCUCUUUAUUUUUAAACAAACCCGGAGCAUCCCGGGGCCCCGGCCAUCGCGGGGCCGCCCCGGGCCGUGACGUCAUGGACCCCAGCCAAUCACCGGAGCCUGAGACCGCGCCGCGGCCUGCGAGCCCGGUGACGUCACAGCGCGGGCCUGUAAUCCGCAGCUUCGCUGGUUACCUGCAAGCGGUGCGAGCGCCCAAUACCUGAAAUCUGGACUUUGCUGUCUCUGAAAAUCACCAUUUGCCUUCGGGAGAUGUGUGUUGGCAAGAAGAGGAGACAUAUUCAAACCCCACUGGCUAUGACAUCAGGAGCUCAGUAUGGAAUCUACAGGCCACCCUAGACUGUCCUGCUAAUGCUGACUCUUCUGCCCAUCUCUGUUCUCAAGUUCUCCAUGGCUUUUAUUCUAGUAAACUGUUAAACUGCUUCCACAGCAGCUGUACCAUUUGCCAUUCCUACCAGCAAUGGACAAGACAUUCAAUUUCUCCACAUCCUCACCAAUAUUCAUUUUC